rnacentral:rRNA from 1 species
GACGGAGGGUGCGAGCGUUAAUCGGAAUUACUGGGCGUAAAGCGCAUGUAGGCGGCCGAACAAGUCAGGUGUGAAAUCCUCGGGCUUAACCUGGGAAGUGCACUUGAUACUGUCCGGCUAGAGUUUGGCAGAGGAAAGUAGAAUUCCCGGUGUAGCAGUGAAAUGCGUAGAUAUCGGGAGGAAUACCAGUGGCGAAGGCGGCUUUCUGGGCCAAUACUGACGCUGAGGUGCGAAAGCGUGGGGAGCGAACGGG